UACAGAGGUCCCGAGCGUUGUUCGGAUUCAUUGGGCGUAAAGGGUGUGUAGGAGGCUAGGUAAGUCGGGUGUGAAAUCCCACCGCUUAACGGUGGAAUGGCAUUCGAUACUGCCAAGCUAGAGGAUUGGAGGGGGAAGCGGAAUUCUUGGUGUAGCAGUGAAAUGCGUAGAUAUCAAGAGGAACACCGGUGGCGUAGGCGGCUUCCUGGAAAAUUCCUGACUCUGAAACACGAAAGCUAGGGGAGCAAACGGG
rnacentral:rRNA from 1 species